rnacentral:rRNA from 1 species
GAUGAACGCUGGCGGCGUGCCUAAUACAUGCGAGUAGAACGCUGAAGGAGGAGCUUGCUCUUCUGGAUGAGUUGCGAACGGGUGAGUAACGCGUAGGUAACCUGCCUGGUAGCGGGGGAUAACUAUUGGAAACGAUAGCUAAUACCGCAUGACAACAGUUAUUGCAUGAUAACUGUUUAAAAGGGGCAACUGCUCCACUACCAGAUGGACCUGCGUUGUAUUAGCUAGUUGGUGAGGUAACGGCUCACCAAGGCGACGAUACAUAGCCGACCUGAGAGGGUGAUCGGCCACACUGGGACUGAGACACGGCCCAGACUCCUACGGGAGGCAGCAGUAGGGAAUCUUCGGCAAUGGACGGAAGUCUGACCGAGCAACGCCGCGUGAGUGAAGAAGGUUUUCGGAUCGUAAAGCUCUGUUGUAAGAGAAGAACGAGGGUGAGAGUGGAAAGUUCACACUGUGACGGUAUCUUACCAGAAAGGGACGGCUAACUACGUG